GGGGAAUAUUGCGCAAUGGGGGGAACCCUGACGCAGCGACGCCGCGUGAGUGAAGAAGGUUUUCGGAUCGUAAAACUCUGUCAUUGGGGAAGAAGGAAGUGACGGUACCCAAUGAGGAAGCCCCGGCUAACUACGUGCCAGCAGCCGCGGUAAUACGUAGGGGGCGAGCGUUGUCCGGAAUUACUGGGCGUAAAGGGUGCGUAGGCGGCCGAUCAAGUCAGAUGUGAAAUACCACGGCUCAACUGUGGGGGUGCAUAUGAAACUGGUUGGCUUGAGUGCAGGAGAGGAAAGUGGAAUUCCUAGUGUAGCGGUGAAAUGCGUAGAGAUUAGGAGGAACACCAGUGGCGAAGGCGACUUUCUGGACUGCAACUGACGCUGAGGCACGAAAGCGUGGGGAGCGAAC
rnacentral:rRNA from 1 species